AUUUUACCGUUGUACGAUCAGAAAUUAAGCUCGUAGACAUUUUCGGACAGCUUGCUUUUUAUCAAGGGCCAAGUUUAUCUCUUGCUCUCAAAAACAAAAUGGUAAGCUUCACGACGUACAUCAUUAUGUGUCCCUAAUACAUGUUCAUAUUUUUUAACAUAUUUGUCUAACCUUCCAACUUGUUAGUAUAAACGUGGAAGUCACAUGCGUCGUGGUGUAGCUUCACAAAGAAGACCAGGCUCUUCCCCUUCCUCGUCCUCGUCCCUGUCCCUUUCCUCUUCCCCUGCCCUUUCAUCUAACCCUCAACCAGUACAUGCUGAUGGACACAUUGGCCCUUCCUCCGACCCUCAAAUGCGAACUGAAUCUACUUCAGUUCCAUCGCCUUCGGUUCCACCUUCUUCUUCAAUGCAACACUCAAAUGAUGAAGAAGAUAGCUGAUUCAUGAUAUCCCCAUUUGGAGAUUCAUUCACGGAUGCUACGUAUGUUGUGAGGAAACUUAAUAAAAUAAUCAAUAACUGUUGGAUGGGGCAGUAUAGUAGUUGGACCACCGCUCCAAAAGAAGUAAAGGAAUUGUAGUGGAAUGAGUUUAAGCGGAAGUUCAGGUGGGAUGAAGCGGAA